CUUGUACCCCCUUGUCCGAAAAUACUUGUCAUCGAAAUGGAUGUAUCUAGAUGUAUUUUAGUUCUAGAGACAUCCAUUUUGAUGACAAGUAAUUCCGUACGGAGGGAGUACUUG
rfam:Triticum aestivum genome assembly, contig: Triticum_aestivum_CS42_TGACv1_scaffold_219492_3AS